AAGACCACGGCCCGAUCUCAUAUGUAACUGUAAAGGUGAUUAAAUUAAAAAGGUGAUUCUUGCCAUUAAUAAUCGUUUAGAUAGUCAACAACAUGGAGCACGUCGCAAGCUGGCCAGGAAUCAAAAGAAGCAUGCCAAAAAACAACAGGUGGCCGCUGUCACAGCAAGCGAUGUCCUUGAUGCUAUCAAAAGUAUCCAACCACCAGGAGAUGAUAUCGCCGACAAGCACCCCAAUAAUGAUUUGGUGAAUGAGAAAGAAGAAAAAAAAAUUAAGAGUUUAUGGCUAGAAGAGAAAUUGUCAAUUCGAAAAAGAAGUUGUCAACAAAGGCAAUGUUGGAAAAAAACCCUAGUUACAACAAUUUUGAAAUUGUCUAUGAAGAUUUUGCUAGAAUGGAGCCAAUGUGCGAUCUUGAGAUAGGUAAGUUUUGUGAAAACUUUUAUUUACUUACAACCAAUUUUCGCCAGUUUCUUUCGAAACGAAAAAAUGGAGGACAUACUUUUUAAAAUGGAAAUCGUGGAGACGUAGAUGUGAUACAUGCAAUCAAUAGUUUGUGCUCAACAAAGCGUGGGGUUUCAGAUUCUAAACACCGUUUAUUCAAAAUCGUCAGGUUGGUAAUCCUGUUGAGCCUAGAAUUACAAUGGCCGUAAUCCCAGUGCAAUGUUGUUUUUCGAGGGCGAUGAUGUCCAUUCCAUGUUAAUUUUUGGUGGAGGGGGUGUUGAAUUUAAAAAACAUCCAAACUAAGAGUGUGUCCAUUACUUUGUUGAAUCUGUUGGCAACGUACUACGUCAUUGAUCGAGAUUACGCAACCGCCUACUCUGUUUUCGCCAUUAUCGAUGUUAAAUGUUUGACCAAAGAUAAUCCCCAAAAGAAGUCGAGAGUUAAAAUUCCCAUUUGUCUUAAGGUCUUCUUAAAAAAGUUCAACAAUUAUGUCGUAGACGAAGUUGCGGAGUCUCAAUUGGCGUUAGAAAAUUCCGAAAGUUAUCGUGAUACCGAUUAAGUUUAUCAUUCUUGUUAUUUGAGUAUCGCUCUCAGUCCCGCUUAAUAUAAUAAUGGUGGUUCCUUUUUAAAUGCUGCUGCCUCGGUGAAGUGAUGCCAUCAACCCAACUCAGUACUGUCAGUCAAGUCUCAUACUGUGUAUAACGUGUCAUACUAAAAUGUAAUC